AAAAACCCUUCUUCAAUCUUCGAUGUAUACAAACUCUAGAGACUAAAAGGAGCUUCAGCUGUUCAUGGAGGAACAUACAAAAAGUUGUGUCUUCUUCUUCAACAAAAAAGAAAAGCUAGCGGAACCCAAGCUAGAAAGAAAAUCUAGCUGAACCCUAACCUACCAAUAGCCCUCAUCUCCUCCUUCUCAGUAGCACCGAAAAACGACCACCAGCCGCCGCCGGACCAAUACCACCAAGCAGCAGCCGCCGCAUCUCCCUUCCCCACCAUAUCCUACGCCCAACAACCACCCUCUCCAAUACCAGACCCCUCAUUUUACCUCCUUCUUCUUCUUCACUAAACACAAAAUCAUGGCACACCUCUAAUCUAGAAGCCCUAAGAGAGACGAGCAGCCAAGAACAACUAGCCAGCCCCGUUGCCGGAACCAGCCACUGCUCCUCCUCCCUUCAUCCGUCCCCAUCACCCUCGACCAGUAGCAAUCUCCACCUUCAGACCUUGGAACAACAUAAAGAAGACUCACAAACAACAGGCCCCCCUCCCAUCGUCAAACCAAUAGCCAUCGUAACUCCACCUAAGAACAUCCGGCUCACAGAAAAACGAACAGCAGUAGCUGCAUCUCAGUCAGGUUUGAAUUCCGUUAAAGACCCUUUGAGUUCGUCGAGGUCCGGUGCAUCGAGGUCGCCAACAGUAGCCCUGGCCGAAGUUUCUUGUUCAUUGCUUCAAAAAAGUAUUGCUAAAUAAAGGUCCAUCCUUAACUUGAUCUCUUAGCUUAAGUAGUUUCAGUUUUGACUAUAUUUCAAAUCUUGUUUUAGUCAAUCUCUGUGGCUAUUUUGUUUGCCGUUAUUCAUUAGUUGAACUAGU
rnacentral:lncRNA from 1 species